rnacentral:misc_RNA from 1 species
CACACUCCGAAAGCACAAUUUUGAAUACAAGCAGUUCCCUGUUGCGUUCACUAACAAUUUGUUCUUCAGUCAGUCCCAGGCUGACUUCCAUGUUUGCUUCAAUAUCUCCACCGAUUAUUUUAUCCGUAAUCACAAACAAUUGGCUCUUUAUUUUUAUACAGAACAUUGCAUGCACUGAUACACACAAGGUCCCAGUGUAUGCAAUUCCCUAUGAACGUUUGCCUCAUUGGAGCAUAGAAAGGCAAGGCAUGAGGUCCACAACUUCAGCGAGUGCCUGUCAGUUACUCCGAUUUGUUCUCAGAGUUAAUCUGCUGGG